GGGUGCGAUCAUACCGGCGUUAAUGCACCGGAUACCAUCAGAACUCCGUAGUUAAGCACGUUUGGGCUAGAUUAGUACUGGGAUGGGUGACCUCCCGGGAAGUCCUAGUGUUGCACUCU
rnacentral:rRNA from 1 species